UUACUCUGGACCUCAAUCUUCAGUCCGUGACUGCACAAUGUACCUGUGUGGACAUUGCUAGCAAAAUACUAAUGUGGCAACACCUGGUGGUCCUGCUUGUCUUCCAAAGAUACAUUUCUGCAGUUUCUCAACACAAACCAUUUGUCUCUGGGCAGGAUUUCAAGAAUGUUAACCCUGUGUGUGCUCCUGUGGGGUACACAGCACCUCCUGUGGGAACAACACUUACUGGAGACCUGUGCAGUGAAGGAGGCUGCCUUGAGGUGUGGACCUUGCAGACAGCUGGAACUAUAACCCAGUCCUUUGCUCCAGAGCACAUUGCUGGAGGACUCUCAGGUGGGAUGAAGAGCAGGUCGCUGACUCCACCUUAUGCUUACACAGGAGGAAGGAAAAGCCUGCUGUUUGUCUUGGCUUGCGAAGUUGCUUGUGGACAGCUCUGUGCUGCGUCGGCAGUGUCACACAGUCAAUGGGCUUUCCACCAAGAAGGUCAAGUUUGAAUGGGGCAGGCCAGAGACCGCUGUUCCCAGAGAAGAAUGUGCCCAAAAGAGAAGAGCUGCUCACUUGGGAAGAACUGCCUUUUGCAGUGGCUGACAGGUAGGUGGUUUCUGUCAUCCGCGCAUGCAAAGCAGGGGCUCGAGCUGUUUUUACCAUUGUAGUAGCUGUAUGUCGGCUUCAUGCUUCUUCACUGUCACUGAUACACUUACCUCUACAGUUUUGCUUUUCUUUUCUUUAAGUCACAGAGACCAUUUGUGUCCCAAGGCCCAAACCAUUCCGUCUUUUGCCCCAUGUAGAAGGACAGCUGUAUGGAGCUGACUGUGACUCCCAUAUUACAAAUGAAUUGCGUAAAAAGCGCUGACCAGAGUCCAUUUCCUGGUUCAUGGCUCAAGUUCCACAUCUCCAGACCUUUCUGUAAGAGGCUAUGAGCACUCAAAGAACUAAGCAGUUGCUGAAGCCUCAUUUCCUAUUUCAACCUGCACUGAGAGAACUACACUAAGAUGUCACCCCCCUCUGCAGGCCCAGCUCACUCUGUAGCUGGACAUGCCCCUCAGCUGUGGCAGCGUGCUAGAACUAGUGAUGCACAGACCAGAAUACCUGGGAAGGGAAGAGGUGCAUGGGAUUCCUGCACUUGUCUGAAGGGUCCAAGAGACCUGACCUGCUUCCCAAUUAAAGAUGGUACAAGACUUAAGGGUUAAAUUUAGACGUGUUUCUAUCCCCGUUCCUGGGGAAGAGUUUGCAUUCCUGGUGUAGAGAUUAAUAAAUGUUAAUUACUGCCUGGUUCAGAUCCCAUCUUAUUUCAGAAGCAAACAUUUCCAAGUCUAUUACCUUCAA